rnacentral:rRNA from 1 species
UUCUGGGAUGGUGAAGGAAGAACGUGUGUAGGAGUUAUCGUUUCACGCAGUAACGUUAUUCAACCAGAAAGUCCCGGCUAAUACGUGCCAGCAGCCGCGGUAUACGUAGGUGGCAAGCGUUUUCCGGAAUUUAUGGGCGUAAAGCGAGCGCAGGCGGUUUUUCUAAGUCUGAUGUGAAAAGCCUUCGGCUUUAACCGGAGAAAGGGGCAUCGGAAACUGGAUAACUUGAGUGCAAGAGAGGGACAGUGGAACUCCAAUGUGUAGCGGUGGAAUGCGUAGAUAUAUGGAAGAACACCAGUGGCGAAGGCGGCUGUCUAGCUUGCAACUGACGCUGAGGCUCGAAAGCAUGGGUAGCGAACAGGAUUAGAUACCCUGGUAGUCCAUGCCGUAAACGAUGAGUGCUAGGUGUUGGAGGGUUUCCGCCCUUCAGUGCCGGAGCUAACGCAUUAAGCACUCCGCCUGGGGAGUACGACCGCAAGGUUGAAACUCAAAGGAAUUGACGGGGGCCCGCACAAGCGGUGGAGCAUGUGGUUUAAUUCGAAGCUACGCGAAGAACCUUACCAGGUCUUGACAUCUUGCGCCAACCUCAGAGAUGAGGCGUUCCCUUCGGGGACGCAAUGACAGGUGGUGCAUGGUCGUCGUCAGCUCGUGUCGUGAGAUGUUGGGUUAAGUCCCGCAACGAGCGCAACCCUUGUUACUAGUUGCCAGCAUUCAGUUGGGCACUCUAGUGAGACUGCCGGUGACAAACCGGAGGAAGGUGGGGACGACGUCAGAUCAUCAUGCCCCUUAUGACCUGGGCUACACACGUGCUACAAUGGACGGUACAACGAGCAGCGAACUCGCAAGGGCCAGCUAAUCUCUUAAAACCGUUCUCAGUUCGGACUGCAGUCUGCAACUCGACUGCACGAAGUCGGAAUCGCUAGUAAUCGCGGAUCAGCAUGCCGCGGUGAAUACGUUCCCGGGCCUUGUACACACCGCCCGUCACACCAUGGGAGUUUGCAAUGCCCAAAGCCGGUGGCCUAACCUUCGGGAAGGAGCCGUCUAAGGCAGGGCAGAUGACUGGGGUGAAGUCGUAACA